rnacentral:rRNA from 1 species
GGGAAGCCUGUUUUAAGAUGAGGUUUCAUUUGAGGUCCCCCAAAGACGAUGGGGUUGAUAGGCCAGACCUGGACGCACCGCAAGGUGUGAAGGCUACUGGUACUAAUAGACCAAAACAAACACACACACCCAUCUAGGGUGUGU